rnacentral:rRNA from 1 species
AGUGAACGCUGGCGGUAGGCCUAACACAUGCAAGUCGAACGGCAGCACAGUAAGAGCUUGCUCUUACGGGUGGCGAGUGGCGGACGGGUGAGGAAUACAUCGGAAUCUACUUUUUCGUGGGGGAUAACGUAGGGAAACUUACGCUAAUACCGCAUACGACCUACGGGUGAAAGCAGGGGAUCUUCGGACCUUGCGCGAUUGAAUGAGCCGAUGUCGGAUUAGCUAGUUGGCGGGGUAAAGGCCCACCAAGGCGACGAUCCGUAGCUGGUCUGAGAGGAUGAUCAGCCACACUGGAACUGAGACACGGUCCAGACUCCUACGGGAGGCAGCAGUGGGGAAUAUUGGACAAUGGGCGCAAGCCUGAUCCAGCCAUACCGCGUGGGUGAAGAAGGCCUUCGGGUUGUAAAGCCCUUUUGUUGGGAAAGAAAAGCAGCAGGUUAAUACCCCGCUGUUCUGACGGUACCCAAAGAAUAAGCGCCGGCUAACUCCGUG